UACGGAGAGGGCUAGCGUUGUUCGGAAUUACUGGGCGUAAAGCGCGCGUAGGCGGACCUGCAAGUCGGGGGUGAAAGCCCGAGGCUCAACCUCGGAACUGCCUUCGAUACUGCGGGUCUCGAGUCCGGGAGAGGUGAGUGGAAUUCCUAGUGUAGAGGUGAAAUGCGCAGAUAUCAGGAGGAACACCGGUGGCGAAGGCGGUUCUCUGGGCCUGUACUGACGCUGAGGAACGAAAGCGUGGGGAGCGAACAGG
rnacentral:rRNA from 1 species